AAAGUGACCUUUACUAUUUUUUUUCGCGGUUCCGGCCAAUUACAAUUUUUUCAAAAUUUUUUUAUGCAUCAUCUAGUAAACUAGUCCUUUUACUUCUAGAAAAGAUUCAAGUCGUUUGGUCUAAUUUUUAGAAAGUUAUUUUGUUUCAAAGAGUGUUUCAAUGUUUUAAUUCGUGACCGUAUGUAUACAUAUAUAGGCGUUCAAAUUAAUGCGCUCGCCGUUCUUCUAAUGAAAAUUCACUUCUUUCUUGUUCGACGUCCACGUUAUCUUUGCGUCAAAAUCAAUUAACCUUUAGUUCGUGUAACAUUGUUGAUCUGCGCGUUUUUUGACGAUCCACAGACCUAACUAUACAUAUAACAGAUAUCUACUUAGGUUGGCCUUGACUUCGAUGGACGAGCGCAUGAUUGUUAGGCCUCGUUUUCACCGAAGCAACAACGAACAACUUUCUGCUGUCUCUCGUUGCUACAUUCCAAGACAUUUCCAACAAACAGCAACUUAUAGAAACAUUCUAUCCACACUGAAACAUUAUGCGAUAACUUUUUCAGGAAACAUGGAAUAGCAAUAAAAGGUUAUUCAAUUUGUUUCAGUGGAAACGAGGCCUUUCGCUCGCUAUUACGAACAAUCGUGGACCGAUAUUUUAAUGUCUUUUCAUUUCUUCUAUAUUUUCUCUACUUAUGAGUCAUCUUUGCUUCUUAUUUGUGUGGUUUGUAUAUGGUAUGAUCUGUAUUGGUAGAUCUGUCGACUGAUCUACCAAUUUAAAUUCUGUUUCAGCCUUUUGCCAGAAAUGUGUUUUUCAUUUCGUCCUUUUACUAUAUUCGCCAUCGUUAUUCGAAAUACAAAAAAAGACUGAUAGAAAGACGUCGAUAAACGAGAAAGAUAGUUGCAAAAUCGUUCCGACAUUCAAAUGCUUUGAAAUAGUCAAGAAAUUAUUCUAUAGCAGAUAUGUACUUGUACGAAUCUUGGAACAGGUGUACGGAAUGGCAACGUUGUACAAAGAAUCGAAUAGGAGCGUUUGGCACGAGUCGCAGCGUGUCGCGUUGACGACAAGAUAAAAAGAAACUGUUUACGAACGAACGAGCGAAAAGGGGUGCGGCUCGCUGCAUCGGCCAUCGCGCUGCUUCUCGAUAAUUAAAUGUCAGAUAGCUAGGCGAGACAGCGCGACAUGACACGGUGUUUUCAUCGGUCGGUCGUGGCACGUUUACAUCGGUUAUAUAGUCUCCUUUUCUAAUCAUAAAGAUAUGUCCUUACAGAGGCUUUUAAAAUAUUUUACACUUUUGGUUUAAACUUCUGAACGCACGAGUCCUAUGAAAUUGCAUAGUUGAGUCAAACGCGAGUGAUUAUCGACAUGGCAAUCAACACGACGGAGUUCUUCCGCGAGUUUGACAUUUUCUCGUUGAAUAUUUUGUGGGAAAUGGAGAAAAUUAAGAGCAAAGGAAGUGACACAAAUUUGGACGCGAUAACACGACUUUCGUUAACGAUAAGAGCGCGUAGUUAAUGAAAGUUACAACGUUUGAUUUAAUCGAUAACGCCACCGCGAAUGAGAAGAACGAUGCCAUCCUCUGCGGACUUUUCACAUAAAGUUGUUAAUAUUUGACCGAAAGUUGAGUCGUUGUUCGUUGGUUGGCAGGAGCACAAGAUACAAGCGUACCAAGAUACAGUAGAUACGAUGGAAAUCUAAUAAACAAAGCGGAAAAAAGCAAUAUGACCGUUUUCGCUAUCAACGGAAUUUCAUUGCUAAAUUAAGGAUCUCUUAAUUAGAGAAGAAUGGAAGGCAACGGAGCAUAAAGCUGUCGAGCAAGCACAAUUUCUCUGGGCGAUAUUAAAACGACGCCUAAUAUCCUGGACGGCUUGAUAUUAAGAGGAUGACGAAGGUGAAUCCCAAAGGAAAGCUGAAAUGGGGUGAAGAAAGGGAUCGUAAGCCGCUUACGGUUUCACGAUGUCACGAAACGAACGAGCCACCAACUGCUUGUCGUUUUAGCAGCACGCAUAAACCGCACUCUACGUAGCUAGGAUUUACAGAUCUAGAAGAUUCUUGAAAUUAGACCAAAUCGCGUAUACGCCUUCCAUGAUGCACGGAUUAACUUGUUUUCCUACAAACAUAAAUUUCCUCCAAAUUGCCAAAGUUGUCAACUAAAUGAUUACGGAUUUUGUCAAUGCCACCUAUUGACAAAAUCCGCAAUUACUUAGUUGUUAGCCCAAUAUAUGCAUAUUACUCUGUUGCUUAAACAAUUAUCAGUUUCACUGUAAUUUCAGUAUGGUAUAUGGUUAACUGAAUUACAAUUCAAUUGAUCUAAUUAAAACACUAAAAUGGCUUGAUUAUAUAAAAUAAAUGCGAUAUUUUUUGCAAAAGUUUACGCUUGUUCUACGGUAGAUCUUUUUCAGAUUUUUCACCAGCGAUGUUUCAACGUUUGGCUGUAACGUAAACUUGAUUUUAGCCGAAGACGAAAACGCUGUUGCUUCAUCGUUCGUUGUAAAUUCUCCAACUCGUUAACUUUCGCACAAAAUUCUUGACAUUUUGUCGAAAAGUUUCCAACUAAAUUUCACCUUACUACGAGUUAAUUUACAAAGGAUCUAACGAGGAUAUCUAAGUGCAUAUCCUUGUAAAAAGACAAGUGCCUGUUGAGAAUUGUGGAUCUUGAUGGCCGAAAUAUUGUUAUGGAAACAUUAAAUUUACACUGGGUAUUAAUAUUAACGUAGACACAUAUUUAUUUUAUAAAUGAUUUCUAGAAUAUUCAUCGAUACACACUUGCACGCGUCUUAGCACCUUCUUCCAUACCCGAUCUUCCGUAGACUGUUAACCGACUGAACUGUUUACAUUCGUCUGUUUUUCAGUCGCCGCGCACACACAUAUCUCCACACACUGAUAUCUACAUACAAAUAUCUCUACUACGCAUUUGACCUAGUCCAGCACAAAAAUUAUACAUAUCUCAAUAGUGCCUUUCCAUUAAAUUGAAAUGAUUAAAUUUAUAUAAUAAAUCAUAUAAUAUGAACGUAUGAUAUUUGUUAUGGCAUGCACAUAAAUAUUAAAUUCAUUCAAAAUUCACAGGUUCCAGUUUCAACUCAGACCUUAGAAUCCCUUUAGUUGUCCUACUUAUGGGAAUAUAUUUUCAC
rnacentral:lncRNA from 1 species